UACGUAGGGCGCAAGCGUUGUCCGGAAUUAUUGGGCGUAAAGAGCUCGUAGGCGGUCUGUCGCGUCGUCUGUGAAAUUCCGGGGCUUAACUUCGGGCGUGCAGGCGAUAAGGGCAUAACUUGAGUGCUGUAGGGGAGACUGGAAUUCCUGGUGUAGCGGUGAAAUGCGCAGAUAUCAGGAGGAACACCGAUGGCGAAGGCAGGUCUCUGGGCAGUUACUGACGCUGAGGA
rnacentral:rRNA from 1 species